CUGAUACAAUGAUGAGUGCAUAGUUCAGCAGAUAAAACCGUGAAGAAUAUCUAUUGUCUUUCGCUCCUAGCUGAUGUAUCAG
ensembl:snoRNA small nucleolar RNA snR60/Z15/Z230/Z193/J17